CCUACGUGAGGCAGCAGUGAGGAAUAUUCGUCAAUGGGCGCGAGCCUGAACCAGCCACGUAGCGUGAAGGAUGACUGCCCUACGGGUUGUAAACUUCUUUUAUAAAGGAAUAAAGUGAGGAACGUGUGCCUUUUUGUAUGUACUUUAUGAAUAAGGAUCGGCUAACUCCGUUCCAGCAGCCGCGUUAAUACGGAGGAUCCGAGCGUUAUCCGGAUUUAUUGGGUUUAAAGGGAGCGUAGAUGGGUUGUUAAGUCAGUUGUGAAAGUUUGCGGCUCAACCGUAAAAUUGCAAUUGAUACUGGCAGUCUUGAGUACAGUUGAGGUAGGCGGAAUUCGUGGUGUAGCGGUGAAAUGCUUAGAUAUCACGAAGAACUCCGAUUGCGAAGGCAGCUUACUAAACUGCCACUGACAUUGAUGCUCGAAAGUGUGGGUAUCAAACAGGAUUAGAUACCCGUGUAGUC
rnacentral:rRNA from 1 species